rnacentral:rRNA from 1 species
ACGGGUGAGUAACGCGUGGGAACAUGCCUUUCGGUUCGGAAUAACUCAGGGAAACUUGAGCUAAUACCGGAUACGCCCUUCGGGGGAAAGAUUUAUUGCCGAAAGAUCGGCCCGCGUCCGAUUAGCUAGUUGGUGAGGUAACGGCCCACCAAGGCGACGAUCGGUAGCUGGUCUGAGAGGAUGAUCAGCCACACUGGGACUGAGACACGGCCCAGACUCCUACGGGAGGCAGCAGUGGGGAAUAUUGGACAAUGGGCGCAAGCCUGAUCCAGCCAUGCCGCGUGAGUGAUGAAGGCCCUAGGGUUGUAAAGCUCUUUCGCCAGGGACGAUAAUGACGGUACCUGGAUAAGAAGCCCCGGCUAACUUCGUGCCAGCAGCCGCGGUAAUACGAAGGGGGCUAGCGUUGUUCGGAAUCACUGGGCGUAAAGCGCACGUAGGCGGAUCUUUAAGUCAGGGGUGAAAUCCCGAGGCUCAACCUCGGAACUGCCUUUGAUACUGGGGGUCUAGAGUCCGGGAGAGGUGAGUGGAACUGCGAGU